rnacentral:rRNA from 1 species
UACGUAGGGUGCGAGCGUUGUCCGGAAUUAUUGGGCGUAAAGAGCUUGUAGGCGGUUUGUCGCGUCUGCUGUGAAAACUCGGGGCUUAACUCCGGGCCUGCAGUGGGUACGGGCAGACUAGAGUGCGGUAGGGGAGACUGGAAUUCCUGGUGUAGCGGUGAAAUGCGCAGAUAUCAGGAGGAACACCGGUGGCGAAGGCGGGUCUCUGGGCCACUACUGACGCUGAGAAGCGAAAGCAUGGGGAGCGAACAGG